AGAGUUCGAUCAUGGCUCAGGAUGAACGCUGGCGGCGUGCUUAACACAUGCAAGUCGAACGGAGAGCUAUUGAAAGAGGAUUCGUCCAAUUGAUAUAGUUUCUUAGUGGCGGACGGGUGAGUAACGCGUGAGGAACCUGCCUCGGAGUGGGGAAUAACACAACGAAAGCUGUGCUAAUACCGCAUAAUGCAGUUGAGCCACAUGGCUCUGACUGCCAAAGAUUUAUCGCUCUGAGAUGGCCUCGCGUCUGAUUAGCUAGUUGGCGGGGUAACGGCCCACCAAGGCGACGAUCAGUAGCCGGACUGAGAGGUUGGCCGGCCACAUUGGGACUGAGACACGGCCCAG
rnacentral:rRNA from 1 species